rnacentral:rRNA from 1 species
UACAGAGGGUGCAAGCGUUAAUCGGAUUGACUGGGCGUAAAGGGCGCGUAGGCGGUUAUUUAAGUUGGAUGUGAAACCCCCGGGCUUAACCUGGGACGUGCAUACAAGACUGGAUAACUGGAGUACUGUAGAGGGUAGUGGAAUUUCCGGUGUAGCGGUGAAAUGCGUAGAGAUCGGAAGGAACACCAGUGGCGAAGGCGGCUACCUGGACAGAUACUGACGCUGAGGAGCGAAAGCCAGGGGAGCAAACGGG